rnacentral:rRNA from 1 species
AUGGACGACCUACCGGAGGCUGUGGUGACAGAGAUUGUCAAGAAGAUCACCAGGACAAGUGAUCUGAAUUCUCUUUCCCUUGUGUCAAAGGGGCUCUACACGAUAGAGGGGAGUCAAAGGGGUGCUAUCUGCGUUGGUUCUGGUCUUUGCACUGCUACAGAAGCAUUAACAUCACUGUGUGCCAGGUUCACAAAUUUGCAGAAAUUGGAAAUCGAUUACUCUGGUUGGAUACCUGGACAUGGAAAUCAGUUGGACAACAAAGGCCUUUUUGUAUUUUCAUCUCAGUGUUCCUCGCUGAUUGACCUCACCUUAAGCUUCUGCUCACACAUCGAUGACUCUGGGCUUGGUUGUUUAGCGCAUUGCAAGAAAUUGGUGUCUCUCAGGCUGAACUCCACACCACAAAUAACUUUGGUUGGGCUUUUCUCAGUUGCAGUUGGUUGCACAAGUCUAUCUGCUCUCCACCUUAUUGACUGCGAGAAAAUCGACAGUGUAGAGUGGCUGGAAUACCUUGGCAGGGAUGGAUCGUUGGAAGAGCUUGUAGUGAAGAAUUGCAAAGGAAUCAAUCAUCAGGACUUCCUAAAGUUUGGUUCAGGAUGGAUGAAGCUCCAGAAGUUUGAGUUUGAGAGGAAAAGAGGAAUAUAUGAUUUUUCUUUAGGUUGUGAGUACUAUGAUCGAGGGCAGGCCUGGCGCAGUGGUGAAGUCCUCCCCACUUGUGCCAAGAGGUCCUGGGUUCGAACCAGCCUCUCUGCAUUGCACUUUGCAGGGGUAAGACUAGGUUCCUAUAAUCCCUCCCCAGACCCCACCUUGUGUGGGAGCUUCUAUGCACUGGGUCUGUCCUUUUGUGAGUACUAUGAUCCAUCGUACAAUGCUCACAGCAUGUAUAUAUAUGAUUUCUGCUGUGAGAGUUUGAAGAAUUUAAGGUUGGCACAUAUUAAAACCUGGCCAGAAAUAGGACUUCGUGUUGUCCUAGGGAAGUGUAAAGCAUUGGAGAACCUUUGGCUUGAGUAUGUUCGUGCACUAAAUGACAAUGACAUGAUUGCAUUAUCCCGGAGCUGCAGCAACCUUAAAAGCAUCUCACUUUGA